CACGUAGGGCGCAAGCGUUGUCCGGAAUUAUUGGGCGUAAAGAGCUCGUAGGCGGUCUGUUGCGUCUGCUGUGAAAACUCGGGGCUUAACCCCGAGCCUGCAGUGGAUACGGGCAGACUAGAGGUAGGUAGGGGGAGAAUGGAAUUCCCGGUGUAGCGGUGAAAUGCAUAGAUAUCGUCAAGAACACCUAUAGCGAAGGCAGCUUACUGGGCUGUAACUGACGCUGAGGCACGAAAGUGUGGGGGAUCAAACAGG
rnacentral:rRNA from 1 species